rnacentral:rRNA from 1 species
UACGAAGGGUGCUAGCGUUGUUCGGAAUCACUGGGCGUAAAGGGUGCGUAGGCGGCUAUACAAGUCAGAGGUGAAAGCCUGGAGCUUAACUCCAGAACUGCCUUUGAAACUGUAUGGCUAGAGUGUCGGAGGGGAUAGCGGAAUUUCUAAUGUAGCGGUGAAAUGCGUAGAUAUUAGAAGGAACGCCGGUGGCGAAGGCGGCUAUCUGGACGACAACUGACGCUGAGGCACGAAAGCGUGGGGAUCAAACAGG